CAGGGUUCUCUAAUUGCCAACAUGAUUCUAGGGAUUAUCAUUUUGAAGAAAAGAUACAGUAUAUUCAAAUAUGCUUCCAUUGCCCUGGUUUCUGUGGGGAUAUUUAUUUGCACUUCCAUGUCAGCAAAGCAGGUGACUUCCCAGUCCAGCUUGAGUGAGAAUGAAGGAUUCCAGGCAUUUACAUGGUGGUUAC